rnacentral:rRNA from 1 species
GAGUUUGAUCUUGGCUCAGAUUGAACGCUGGCGGCAGGCCUAACACAUGCAAGUCGGGCGGUAGAGAGAAGCUUGCUUCUCUUGAGAGCGGCGGACGGGUGAGUAAUGCCUAGGAAUCUGCCUGGUAGUGGGGGAUAACGCUCGGAAACGGACGCUAAUACCGCAUACGUCCUACGGGAGAAAGCAGGGGACCUUCGGGCCUUGCGCUAUCAGAUGAGCCUAGGUCGGAUUAGCUAGUUGGUGAGGUAAUGGCUCACCAAGGCGACGAUCCGUAACUGGUCUGAGAGGAUGAUCAGUCACACUGGAACUGAGACACGGUCCAGACUCCUACGGGAGGCAGCAGUGGGGAAUAUUGGACAAUGGGCGAAAGCCUGAUCCAGCCAUGCCGCGUGUGUGAAGAAGGUCUUCGGAUUGUAAAGCACUUUAAGUUGGGAGGAAGGGCAGUAAAUUAAUACUUCGCUGUUUUGACGUUACCGACAGAAUAAGACACCGGCUAACUCUGUGCCAGCAGCCG